GAGGGGGAGCGGGCGCCCGCGCCUGAUUAUCCGCACUCGCUGGUUUCGGAGCGCGCGCCCAAUUAGGCGCCCAUUGCCGCGCACAGCUGCGGGCCCGCGCCGCGGGCACACGCCUCCGUCCUGCUCGCUCCCGAGUUGCGGGCAGCGCCCAGGAGCCGGGUGCCUCGCGUCACGCGGAGGCUUCAAUAAAGGGCUUUGUGGUGCCAGUCCCGCCCGCCGGGGCCUAAGGGAGCCAAGCCCGGGACAGGGUCCCGCGGGGGCCCUCGGGUUAAGCGGCCAAGGCUCGCACACCCUUGACGGAACAAAACUUGGGAACGAAAGAGAUGGUCCUUGUGAGGAAUAAAGAUCAUGUCUGUCAUUUCUCUGCCAACAUGAUUCCUUCUGGGCAGCUAAAAUCUCAUCUAGGACCAGUUAAGAGAGACUUAAAAAUUGUCAACACA